rnacentral:lncRNA from 1 species
CCAAACUUCGUGCUCCACUCGAUUCUCAAACUCAGAGGUUCUUCAAACAGCUUUCAUAGUUCAUACUCUGUUUUAUGUUCUUAGCUUAACAAAUAGGCACCCACACUUGCAAAGAAAUGGAAUCAAAUGUUUCUUCCAACUCCACCAAGAAGCAAAACCGAAGCCUCCCACCAAAGAGGGGCCAAGUUAAGAUGAGAAUCCUCAAGACUAUCCUAAAAUCGGUUAGUUCAAUGGCGUCGACGGGGACGCCCAAGGAAAGUGGCGCACACCUUAGCUCAUCAUCCACAACACCGACGGGCUACCUUUCUGAUUGAUGAAAUGAUACCUUAUUUUCAAUAUUUUUUGUACAAGGUGGGUCUAAGUGGCCUUAUAAAUUUCUCCUCUUUUUUGGGUUUACUUAGGCAAUAUAAUUCAGUAGUAAUUUUCCCUCCUUUUUGUACACCAGUCAUGUAGUUUGAAUGUUUGAUAAAAUAGGUAUCACCGUAAUUUUUGGUUUUUUCAAAUGCAUUUAUAUUUUAUUUGAUAUCCAAAUUGGAAUUGGCUCAAAUUCAAGUAGCAUGAUUUGAGUG